rnacentral:rRNA from 1 species
GGGUUGUGAGGUUAAGCGACCAAGCGUACACGGUGGAUGCCCUGGCAGUCAGAGGCGAUGAAGGACGUGCUAAUCUGCGAAAAGCGCCGGUAAGGUGAUAUGAACCGUUAUAACCGGCGAUGUCCGAAUGGGGAAACCCAGUGUGACUCGUCACACUAUCAUUAACUGAAUCCAUAGGUUAAUGAGGCGAACCGGGGGAACUGAAACAUCUAAGUACCCCGAGGAAAAGAAAUCAACCGAGAUUCCCCCAGUAGCGGCGAGCGAACGGGGAGGAGCCCAGAGCCUGAAUCAGCAUGUGUGUUAGUGGAAGCGUCUGGAAAGGCGCGCGAUACAGGGUGAGAGCCCCGUACACAAAAGCGCACAUGCUGUGAGCUCGAUGAGUAGGGCGGGACACGUGGUAUCCUGUCUGAAUAUGGGGGGACCAUCCUCCAAGGCUAAAUACUCCUGACUGACCGAUAGUGAACCAGUACCGUGAGGGAAAGGCGAAAAGAACCCCGGCGAGGGGAGUGAAACAGAACCUGAAACCGUGUACGUACAAGCAGUGGGAGCCCCACCACUAAGCCAGUGGUGAACUCCACA